GAUGAACGCUGACAGAAUGCUUAACACAUGCAAGUCUUUGGCGAAGCUGUGCUCGCACAGCCUAGCCAAGGCGGACGGGUGAGUAACGCGUAAGGAACUUGCCCUGCAGUCAGGGAUAACAGACGGAAACGACUGAUAAGACCUGGUAAAGUCAGGCGGACUCAUGUCCAGCCUGAUGAAAAGAGAUGCUGCAGGAGAGCCUUGCGUCCUAUUAGCUUGUUGGUGGGGUAACGGCCCACCAAGGCGAUGAUAGGUAGCCGGCCUGAGGGGGUGGACGGCCACAGGGGGACUGAGAUACGGCCCUUACCCCUACGGGAGGCAGGAGUGGGGAAUAUUGGACAAUGGGGGCAACCCUGAUCCAGCAAUUCUGUGUGCACGAUGAAGGUUUUCGGAUUGUAAAGUGCUUUCAGCAGGGGAGAAAAAAAUGACGGUACCUGCAGAAGAAGCGACGGCUAAAUACGUG
rnacentral:rRNA from 1 species